UUAGGAAUCUUCCACAAUGGGCGAAAGCCUGAUGGAGCGACGCAGCGUGAGGGAUGAAGGCUCUAGAGUCGUAAACCUCUAAAAGGGGGACGAUAAUGACGGUACCCCUUGAAAAGCACCGGCUAACUCAGUGCCAGCAGCCGCGGUAAUACUGAGGGUGCAAACGUUAUCCGGAAUUACUGGGCGUAAAGGGCGUGUAGGCGGUUUGUUAAGUCCGAUGUUAAAGGCCGGGGCUCAACCCCGGUACGGCGUUGGAUACUGGCAAACUAGACGGCUGGAGAGGCAAGUGGAAUUACCAGUGUAGCGGUGGAAUGCGUAGAUACUGGUAGGAACACUCAUUGCGAAGGCAGCUUGCUGGACAGCACGUGACGCUAAGGCGCGAAAGUGUGGGGAGCAAACCGG
rnacentral:rRNA from 1 species